UUUCAGUGUGAGUGAACCCAGGGAGAGGCCAAGCAUAGUUUUUUGAGGAGUGAAACUUCCAGCAGCAAACCGCUUGGAUAAUUACUCAAGGUUUUCCCUACAGUAUUUUCUAAGGCAAUGUGUAAGUAUAAUUAAGGCUGUUUGAACAUGUAUUCUCUCCGCAGGAUAAUAAGGAUAAUAUGUAAGAAUCUGUUGCUGAUUUAUGUGUUUGCUGUCUUCAAGAAAGACUGUGACAAGGCUUUUCAAAUGGAGGAUCUGAUUUUUGCUCAAGACGGUGCCUGUUUUAAAAGUAGUUGUUUUACCACUAUUAGAAUAUUAUUUAAGGGCGGGGCACACCUGUGAUCCCAGCACUUUGGGAGGCCGAGG
rnacentral:lncRNA from 1 species